UACAGAGGGGACAAGCGUUGUUCGGAAUUACUGGGCGUAAAGGGCGCGUAGGCGGCCUUCUAAGUCGAACGUGAAAUCCCUGGGCUCAACCCAGGAACUGCGUCCGAUACUGGGAGGCUUGAAUCCGGGAGAGGGAUGCGGAAUUCCAGGUGUAGCGGUGAAAUGCGUAGAUAUCUGGAGGAACACCGGUGGCGAAGGCGGCAUCCUGGACCGGCAUUGACGCUGAGGCGCGAAAGCCAGGGGAGCAAACGGG
rnacentral:rRNA from 1 species